rnacentral:rRNA from 1 species
AGCAGCCGUGGUAAUUCCAGCUCCAAUAGCGUAUAUUAAAGUUGUUGCAGUUAAAAAGCUCGUAGUUGAAUUUCGGGAUCAAUACGUCGGUCGUGCUUUCGGGUACGUACUGGCGUCAUUGGUUUCUCCUUUCUGACGAACCAUGAUAUCAUUAAUUUGGUGUUAUGGGGAGUUAGGACUGUUACUUUGAAAAAAUUAGAGUGUUUAAAGCAGGCAUUAGCUUGAAUACAUUAGCAUGGAAUAAUGAAAUAGGACGUUCGAUCCUAUUUUGUUGGUUUCUAGGAUCAACGUAAUGAUUAAUAGGGAUAGUUGGGGGCAUUAGUAUUCAAUUGUCAGAGGUGAAAUUCUUGGAUUUAUUGAAGACUAACUACUGCGAAAGCAUUUGCCAAGGAUGUUUUCAUUAAUCAAGAACGAAAGUUAGGGGAUCGAAGACGAUCAGAUACCGUCGUAGUCUUAACCAUAAACUAUGCCGACUAGGGAUCGGAUGAUGUUAAUUUUUAAUGACUCAUUCGGCGCCUUA